AACGUAGGUCACAAGCGUUGUCCGGAAUUACUGGGUGUAAAGGAAGCGCAGGCGGGAAGACAAGUUGGAAGUGAAAUCCAUGGGCUCAACCCAUGAACUGCUUUCAAAACUGUUUUUCUUGAGUAGUGCAGAGGUAGGCGGAAUUCCCGGUGUAGCGGUGGAAUGCGUAGAUAUCGGGAGGAACACCAGUGGCGAAGGCGGCCUACUGGGCACCAACUGACGCUGAGGCUCGAAAGUGUGGGUAGCAAACAGG
rnacentral:rRNA from 1 species